UAGGGAAUCUUCCGCAAUGGGCGAAAGCCUGACGGAGCAACGCCGCGUGAGUGAUGAAGGUCUUCGGAUCGUAAAACUCUGUUAUUAGGGAAGAACAAACGUGUAAGUAACUAUGCACGUCUUGACGGUACCUAAUCAGAAAGCCACGGCUAACUACGUGCCAGCAGCCGCGGUAAUACGUAGGUGGCAAGCGUUAUCCGGAAUUAUUGGGCGUAAAGCGCGCGUAGGCGGUUUUUUAAGUCUGAUGUGAAAGCCCAUGGCUCAACCGUGGAGGGUCAUUGGAAACUGGAAAACUUGAGUGCAGAAGAGGAAAGUGGAAUUCCAUGUGUAGCGGUGAAAUGCGCAGAGAUAUGGAGGAACACCAGUGGCGAAGGCGACUUUCUGGUCUGUAACUGACGCUGAUGUGCGAAAGCGUGGGGAUCAAACAGG
rnacentral:rRNA from 1 species